AAAGACCCAAAGUAGGACCCACACAGCACCACCACCACCAAGCCCGAUUGCCCAUACGGCCAUACCUUCUUAGUUCUUACCCUCGUUGAAUCUUAAUUAUCUAUUUAUCAUCAUCCCUUUCAUCCGUGGAAAACUGGUACAAAACUUAUCUUCCUAAAAUACUUUCAAUCUUCCAUUAUUCAUCUUCUAAUCUCUUUAAUCUGCACAACUAUGGAGAAUUCAUCUCAAUCUCUCGUUGAUUUCUGGGGAGUAAUCACUGAAUCUAAACGAAUCAUCAACGCUCACUCUCGCCAUUUCUUGGCUCUCUCUGUUCUCUUCCUUCUUCCUCUAUCUUUCUCUCUAUCCGUCUUUCCUACUCUCCUUCACACCUUUACUUCCUCUGCACCUAACCACAUCGUAUCUCUUCUCCGCUUCUCUAAUUCCGAAAAACCCCCAAUUAUUCUUCACCCUUCUCUUCUUCUACCUCAUCACAAAACCCUAAUUUUUUCUCUUUUUUUCUUUUCCUUCAUCCUAUUCUUCUUUCUUCUUGCUGUUUCUUCCAUUACUUCUUCUGUUUUUCAUGGGUUUUAUGGUAGACCUGUUAAAUUAUUCUCCGCUGUUUCCUCUGUUGUUCGCUCUUUUUUCCCUCUUUUGAUCACUUUUAUAACUGCCCAGAUUGUUAUUUUUGUUAUAUUCUCUCUCUUUGGGGUUUUUUCUUAUGUGGGUUUUAAGGGAAUUCAGCUCAUUGUCAGAGAUUUCACCUAUAAUUCUCCUCAUUUUUAUGGGAUAUCUUCGUUUGGGGCUGUUUUAUUAGGGUUGAUUUUGGUUUAUGUUGGUGUAAAUUGGAUUCUGGUUAAUGUGAUUGUUGUGGUUGAAUCAAAAUGGGGGUUUGAAUCCUUGAAUAGAAGUAAGGAUUUGAUCAGAGGAAUGAAAUGGGUUGCACUGUCUUUGAUUGUGUUUUUCGGAUUCUUUCUGAUUGUGUUGUUGUGGAUUAGUAUCGUUUCGGGUAGUGAUCCGGCUGUACCGAUGGAUGGGUUGAAUACUUGGUUGUUUGUGGUUCAAAUUGUGGCUACUUCUGCAGUUUUUACUUUGCUUUUGCUUCAUGGGAUUGCCGCUUCCACGGUUUUGUAUAUGUACUGUAGGGCUUUGCAUGGAGAGUUAGCUGGGGAGAUAGCUCAUGAGUUUGCAUCUGAGUAUUUGAGUCUGCCUUAUGAUGAUAAAAAGGUCCCUCACGUUGUUUGUUAUGUGUAUUGAUCAAGAAUCAGCCUUUCAGGAACUAGCUUGCAGCUGUGUUGAUGUAUUCUGGAUAUUUUACUUCAGAAGGCUGACAAGGUGAUUGUACUGUAAUCAAGCAACGGUUUCCAUGUAACGAUUUAUAUAUAACUAUUCGCUAAUACAAACUUUUUCCUGUGGAUAAUGUCUUGGAAUGCACAUGCUUGAAUAACACAAAUUUUGGAGCAAAUGGCAGAUUAUAGUAUCAUUUAAACUGGUCUCUUUUUUUGGGUUAUUUCUACAAAAUGCCCAGUCCCCUUCAGCCAAUAGUAUGUGUGUGUAGCACGGCCUAUCUAAUUUCGCUAAGACUUGUACGAUUUGAAUCCUACAUCAACUUCACUUUUGUUUCUUAAUCUAGCUGUGUUUUGUAGUUGUACGUGUGUUUAUUGAGAGCUUAUUCAUGAUGGUGUACUGGUUAUAGGUUCCUUUGGCUGGAUUAUUACAGGGCAGUUGAUUGUUGAAGUUCGUUGUAUAUGAAUGGCUCUAAUACAAAUGGCGGAUGAAAGAUCAGUGAUUACUCGACAGGACGAGUUCAUGCAUCACGGUGUCCAUUGUUCAUAUGGUGUCUAUUCCCUAUAGCUUCUUAUGAUAGUAGUUAGUAUCAUACUAUAUCUCAUUGUAGCUCUAAUGCUAGUUCAGGCAUAGAAGUGAAAUACUGGAUCGGUUUUUUUAUAAAUUCUGUAAAGAAAGUAUGACCAAAUUCGUCUCAACUUGAUAUAUAAAAUUUUAAUAUUAUAUUUUUUUA